UACGUAGGGGGCAAGCGUUGUCCGGAUUUAUUGGGCGUAAAGAGCGUGUAGGCGGCUAUACAGGUCCGUUGUGAAAACUCGAGGCUCAACCUCGAGACGCCGAUGGAAACCGUAUGGCUAGAGUCCGGAAGAGGAGAGCGGAAUUCCUGGUGUAGCGGUGAAAUGCGCAGAUAUCAGGAGGAACACCGGUGGCGAAGGCGGCCAUCUGGGAAGGUACUGACGCUGAGACGCGAAAGCGUGGGGAGCAAACAGG
rnacentral:rRNA from 1 species